rnacentral:rRNA from 1 species
AGCGAACGCUGGCGGCAGGCCUAACACAUGCAAGUCGAACGGAUCCUUCGGGAUUAGUGGCGGACGGGUGAGUAACACGUGGGAACGUGCCCUUUGGUUCGGAACAACUCAGGGAAACUUGAGCUAAUACCGGAUGUGCCCUUCGGGGGAAAGAUUUAUCGCCAUUGGAGCGGCCCGCGUCUGAUUAGCUAGUUGGUGAGGUAACGGCCCACCAAGGCGACGAUCAGUAGCUGGUCUGAGAGGAUGAUCAGCCACACUGGGACUGAGACACGGCCCAGACUCCUACGGGAAGCGGCAGUGGGGAAUCUUGCGCAAUGGGCGAAAGCCUGACGCAGCCAUGCCGCGUGAAUGAUGAAGGUCUUAGGAUUGUAAAAUUCUUUCAGCGGGGACGAUAAUGACGGUACCCGCAGAAGAAGCUCCGGCUAACUUCGUG